UUGUUUGAAGAUUGAUUGCAUAUUUAUUCAUGCUGGUAUUCUUUCAUGAAAAUUGACAAGUGUUGGAUUAAUACAAGAUUUACAGUAGCCUGCAGGAUAAGAGAGAGCUUUAACAGAUAACAAUCAAGAGAAGCAAAGCUCUUACUAAUUAGUUGUUUAAUUUUAGACAGGUGGACAUAUUUAUAAUCAUACCCCGAGCAAAUACAGGAAAUCCAGCAUACAGAGGAGAUUGUUAUCAGAACAUGGAGGAGAUCUAGUUUUGCUCCCUUUCUUUAUGUAGAUUCCACAGACUUGGGAGAAAGAGAAGCCACAGAACUACUGUUGGCAGGCAUGGAUUUGGAUCGCUUGAUCCAGGCUGAUGAGCUUGACCGAUGGAAUCUGCAUCGGAACGAGCCCUGGUGAGUCGUUGGUGAGCAUAAACAUUGGCCGGCUUUUGGUGAAUUGGCUGCCACAGCUGCUUCAGAGACGCUGCUGCCUUUGGGAGAGGUGCUUACAGUAAUGUUUCCAUGGGAGGCCAUAAUUAUCUGGCAAAAAGAAGAGAGAUAUUAAAGGAAAGUAAUUUAAGUGGCAAACUUAAAAGAAGCUAUUAGGCCUUGGAAAUAUAUAGGACACAUAGUAGGGAGGACUCAGAUUUUUGUCUUUGUAUAGUGUGCAAAGGUUGAAAUAGGUAGAAAAUAGAAAUAUCAAUGGUUAAGAUAUGAAGUGGAU
rnacentral:lncRNA from 1 species